UUUGAAUGGAGAAACGUAUGGACUCUGGAUACAUGAAGGGAAUUCAGGGAGGAGAAAACAAGCAAUAUGAACAUGGGAGAGAUUUGCACGUGCAUGUAAAUCCUGCACUUGCUCCUGGGAAUGCUGGCUGCUUUUCUAGUGCAUAUUCCCAUGGUCCCCAGGAUUUUCUGUGUUAAGAGUCUGAUCCCUCUCCCCUCUGACUGGGUCUUGCUUCUGGCUGAAGAUUGAGAGAAUAGAUGGAUAUUGGCAGUCUGCAAGAGAAGAGGUACCAGAUUUGCUCUUGAGCUGGAUUCUCCUCCAAAAAGAAGAAAUAAUAAGCAAUUGAGACAGGAUGGCUUUUUGGAAGGACUUCUUGCAAAGACUUCUUGGAUUCAAAGAAGAAAUGACACUAUCUGAGAUGGACAGAGCUACUCCAGAAGCUUCAGG